UGACCUAAACUCGUGACUUCUGAACUCCCAUUUCCCCCACUUUUGGGGACUAACUUAAAAAAAAAAAUUCCUUUAGAGAUUUCUUCUUAAAAGCUAAAUUCCGGGCCACGUGUGGUGGCUCACACCUAUAAUCCCAGCACUUUGGGAGGCUGAGGCAAGAAGAUCACUUGAGCCCAGGAGUUUGAGACCAGCCAGAUCCAUUUCUGCAAAAAAUAAAAAAUUAGCCAGGCAUGGUGUCAUGUGCCUUCAGUCUCAGCUACUUGGGAGGCUGAGGCAGGAGGAUCACUUGAGCCCAGGAGCUCAAGGCUGCAGUGAGCUAUGAUUGCGCCACUGCACUGGGUGACAAGAGCGUGACUGUGUCUGGAAAAAAAAAAAAAAGGAAUUCCUAAACAGGCUUGUUGACUUCGCAGACUGCUUUUGGCUUCUGGAUGCCCUCCUCCAGUACACGUCAUAUGGGGUGACACCGCCUAGCCUCAGUCACUCUGGGAACCGCCAGCGCCCUCCCAGUGGAGCAGGCUCAGUCACUCCAGAGAGGAUGGAAGUAAUAGAGAUGAUUUUCUUUUUUGUUGAUGUUGCUGCUAACCACAGGAAACCAUCUUCAUCGGUACUCCAAGGUUCUGGAGGCCCAUUUGGGAGACCCAAAACCUCGGCCUCUGCCAGCCUGUCCACACUUGUCUUGGGCCAAGCCACAGCCUUUAAACGAGACGGCGCCCA
rnacentral:sRNA from 1 species